GUGGACGGAGCAGCAGCGUCUCCCGCGGAGCGACCGCCAUCCGCGUUAACAGCCUCAGUCCUUUGAGGGUAAAAAGGCCUGAAGACCCUUGUAAGCUCCUUUCGCAAAUUCGACUACUGCAAAAAACAGGUGGAAAACAGAAGGCAGCUCCUUUGCUCACUCCUGCAGUGUGGUAGGACUGAUUUGAUGUACCAACUCUGCCAUGCUAAACCUGCUGAGACAUUUUAAAUCUAAAAAUUGAAAUGUACGACCCUCCUGAAAGAACUCUGGUUGCAGACCAGCUUUUUAUCUUGGUUGCCAUAGUUUUUCUUACCUACAGAUAAUAGUGUUUUUCAAAAGACCCUUGAAGAAACCUAACAACCUCCUCUGGGGGACUCCUUUUCCAAGAAAGUGCUGCACCCCUGAAACCUUUUUAUGGUGGACUUGAAUUUGCUUGAUGGCUGAUAUCGUGGAAACGUCUCCAAAACCCCUCCGCAGAGACAACAGUCUGCUCUUGCCUACCAGCAAAAGUACCCUGAAGAAGAUGGUUGAGAUUGAUUUCCUUUGUGCAUCCAGAGAAGCAAGCUAUAAAUGAACAUUUCAAGGUGAACCGAGGGAGAACGUCUUUCCACGCAACCUCUGUCUGCAUUUGCUGUCGUCCAUUUUGUUAUGCUCCUGGCUGCAAGGAGAAGGUUCUGACACACAGUUUUAUGUGGCAGCAAUAGAUAACUUCUAUGAUACACCAGAUGACCCUAGCAAAAUAUAGACUGCUACAAAGGAAAGACGAUAACCUGAACCACAACUGAAAAAGUUUGGAUGUUUCUUACAUCGACACCUGGAAGGAUUUUUUCUUUAGGGAGUUUGACCAGCUGGAAAGAAUGACCUAUAGAUACUGAUGCCGUGUGUUCCCAACCAACAACCCAGCCAGAUCAUUCUACAUUGAAGCUCUCGGGAAACCAGGCCCACCCACAUGCUGGGGACUUCCAAUCAGCUUAUAAGCACUUGACUCCAGUUUUUUAGUUCCCUACUCUCAAGUGUGAGUGAAUACAGUCAUACCUUGGGGGUAUUAUUGCAGGUUCCAUUCCAGACCACUGCAAUAAAGUAUUGCAAUAAAGUAAGCCAU